rnacentral:lncRNA from 10 species
CUUUAGACCUCAUUUGAGGAUGCUGAGGUAUAGAAUUAUAUAAUUUUCCUGAGAUCCCACAGCUAGAAAUAGGAGGUGAGAUUCAAAACCAGGCAGCCUGUCUCCAGAAUCUACAUUCAAAGACAGUGGGAUACACUAGGAUUUUAAGAAAGUCUUAGAUGUUGGAACAAUUACCUGCCUCUAUAUAAAUGCUUUCUGUUUAUGUUUUUUUUCUGUUCUUUAUACAAUUGAUUUUAAGAUAAAUUGUGACUACCUUGCAUCCCUGCUUAUGUUUAGUUACUAGAUCUCAUUAUAAUGCUCUUGAAAUAUGACAGGAAUUCCAAAAUUAGCAUCAAAUAGGAAUUCAGCAUCAUACAGAAAAAUAAAAAUGUAUUUUAAAAGAUACUUAAUUCUAAAUUUAAGGGCAGAAUAGUAUAGUGGUUUACAGGCUGUGCUUCUCAAUUUUUCAUGUGCCAGUCACCUAAGUACAUUGUUAAAAAUGCAGAUUUUCAGCAGCUCUGAGAUUCUGCAUUUGUAGCAAGUUCCUGGGUGAUGGUAACACUGCUGGCCUGAAGAUUAUAUUUUGAGUAGGAAAGGUUCAGAGUUCAAACUCUGGAGUCACACUGCUUAUGUUUCUUUCUUUUUUGAGACAGAGUCAGACUCUG